AACGAACGCUGGCGGCAUGCCUAACACAUGCCAGUCGAACGAGACCUUCGGGUCUAGUGGCGCACGGGUGCGUAACGCGUGGGAACCUGCCCUUAGGUUCGGAAUAACUCCCCGAAAGGGGUGCUAAUACCGGAUAAUGUCUUCGGACCAAAGAUUUAUCGCCUUUGGAUGGGCCCGCGUUGGAUUAGCUAGUUGGUAGGGUAAAAGCCUACCAAGGCGACGAUCCAUAGCUGGUCUGAGAGGAUGAUCAGCCACACUGGGACUGAGACACGGCCCAGACUCCUACGGGAGGCAGCAGUGGGGAAUAUUGGACAAUGGGCGAAAGCCUGUUCCAGCAAUGCCGCGUGAGUGAUGAAGGCCUUAGGGUUGUAAAGCUCUUUUACCCGGGAUGAUAAUGACAGUACCGGGAGAAUAAGCUCCGGCUAACUCCGUG
rnacentral:rRNA from 1 species